AAAUUGAAGAGUUUGAUCAUGGCUCAGAUUGAACGCUGGCGGCAGGCCUAACACAUGCAAGUCGAACGGUAGCACAGAGAGCUUGCUCUCGGGUGACGAGUGGCGGACGGGUGAGUAAUGUCUGGGAAACUGCCCGAUGGAGGGGGAUAACUACUGGAAACGGUAGCUAAUACCGCAUAACGUCGCAAGACCAAAGUGGGGGACCUUCGGGCCUCACACCAUCGGAUGUGCCCAGAUGGGAUUAGCUAGUAGGUGGGGUAACGGCUCACCUAGGCGACGAUCCCUAGCUGGUCUGAGAGGAUGACCAGCCACACUGGAACUGAGACACGGUCCAGACUCCUACGGGAGGCAGCAGUGGGGAAUAUUGCACAAUGGGCGCAAGCCUGAUGCAGCCAUGCCGCGUGUAUGAAGAAGGCCUUCGGGUUGUAAAGUACUUUCAGCGAGGAGGAAGGCGUUGUGGUUAAUAACCACAGCGAUUGACGUUACUCGCAGAAGAAGCACCGGCUAACUCCGUGCCAGCAGCCGCGGUAAUACGGAGGGUGCAAGCGUUAAUCGGAAUUACUGGGCGUAAAGCGCACGCAGGCGGUUUGUUAAGUCAGAUGUGAAAUCCCCGGGCUCAACCUGGGAACUGCAUUUGAAACUGGCAAGCUUGAGUCUCGUAGAGGGGGGUAGAAUUCCAGGUGUAGCGGUGAAAUGCGUAGAGAUCUGGAGGAAUACCGGUGGCGAAGGCGGCCCCCUGGACAAAGACUGACGCUCAGGUGCGAAAGCGUGGGGAGCAAACAGGAUUAGAUACCCUGGUAGUCCACGCCGUAAACGAUGUCUACUUGGAGGUUGUGCCCUUGAGGCGUGGCUUCCGGAGCUAACGCGUUAAGUAGACCGCCUGGGGAGUACGGCCGCAAGGUUAAAACUCAAAUGAAUUGACGGGGGCCCGCACAAGCGGUGGAGCAUGUGGUUUAAUUCGAUGCAACGCGAAGAACCUUACCUGGUCUUGACAUCCACGGAAGUUUUCAGAGAUGAGAAUGUGCCUUCGGGAACCGUGAGACAGGUGCUGCAUGGCUGUCGUCAGCUCGUGUUGUGAAAUGUUGGGUUAAGUCCCGCAACGAGCGCAACCCUUAUCCUUUGUUGCCAGCGGUUAGGCCGGGAACUCAAAGGAGACUGCCAGUGAUAAACUGGAGGAAGGUGGGGAUGA
rnacentral:rRNA from 1 species